rnacentral:lncRNA from 1 species
GCCCCAGAAAUAGCAUAUACAUUGCGCCCUAAGUCCAGUCUCGCCCAGGUGUGGCAGGAGCUUUUACCUGCUCUUCGGCAGUAGCCGGCUGCCACUCAACCCCGUGCCUGACUGAGCUGUGGUAGAAGGAUUGAGGCCAGCACAGAGGAGGAUCAGCAGGAAAUGUAAGGGUUGUCCUCAUCUAAUCCGUCAGUACCAGACAGUGAACAUCUCUCCCCCAGGAUGCUGAGGGAGGGUGCUGGAGGGAAGGAUGUGGAACUACAGCCUCUGCUCUCAAGAAGCUCAGAUCUGGGCAGGGAACAUCACAUACCAGGGCUGUCGGGGGGUGGAGGGCUGGGGGAGGGAUAGCAUUAGGGGAAAUACCUAAUGUAAAUGACAAGUUGAUGGGUGCAGCAAACCAACAUGGCACACGUAUACCUAUGUAACAAACCUGCAUGUUGUGCACAUGUACCCUAGAACUUAAAGUAUAAUUAAAAAAAAAAAAAAAGCUUCA